GUUACUGCUAUCGGAGUUCGAGUAAGCCAUGCGAGUCUAAAGGUUUCUUUCGGGAAGCCUUGGCGGACUGCUCAGUAACACGUGGAUAACCUACCCUUAGGACUGGGAUAACCCCGGGAAACUGGGGAUAAUACCGGAUAGAUCAAGGAUGCUGGAAUGCACCUUGAUCCAAAGCUCUGGCGCCUAAGGAUGGGUCUGCGGCCUAUCAGGUUGUAGUGGGUGUAACGUACCUACUAGCCGACGACGGGUACGGGUUGUGAGAGCAAGAGCCCGGAGAUGGAUUCUGAGACACGAAUCCAGGCCCUACGGGGUGCAGCAGGCGCGAAACCUUUACAAUGUGCGAAAGCAUGAUAAGGGGACUCCGAGUGCCAGCAUCUAAUGUUGGCUGUCCUUGUGCCUAAAAAGCACAAGAUAGCAAGGGCCGGGUAAGACCGGUGCCAGCCGCCGCGGUAACACCGGCGGCCCGAGUGGUAGCCGCUAUUAUUGGGUCUAAAGGGUCCGUAGCCGGUUCGGUAAGUCCUCUGGGAAAUCUGGUAGCUUAACAAUCAGACUGCCAAGGGAUACUGCUGAACUUGAGACCGGGAGAGGUAAGAGGUACUUCAGGGGUAGGAGUGAAAUCUUGUGAUCCCUGGGGGACCAUCUGUGGCGAAGGCGCCUUACCAGAACGGGUCUGACGGUGAGGGACGAAAGCUGGGGGCGCAAACCGGAUUAGAUACCCGGGUAGUCCCAGCCGUAAACGAUGCUCGCUAUGUGUCAGGUACGGUGCGACCGUAUCUGGUGCCGUAGGGAAGCCGUGAAGCGAGCCACCUGGGAAGUACGGUCGCAAGACUGAAACUUAAAGG
rnacentral:rRNA from 1 species